rnacentral:siRNA from 1 species
AGCCUGACCCAUGUGUCCACAGA